rnacentral:ncRNA from 1 species
CUAUGGCCGUUAUCCGCGGCCGGAAAAAUAAAAGGGGGACCUGUGUGAGUAAUCGCACAGAGCAAAAUUGGCUGUAUCGGUGAAUAUCUCUCGCGAAAGAGACGAUACCGAGGGAAGUCGUAAUUGACCCCGUAGAGACUACACGCCAGUCAACCGUAUCGCGGUUGAUGAUAUAGUCCGACCUUCAUGGUGACAUGGAG